rnacentral:misc_RNA from 1 species
UAUCUUAUCCAAAUUGGCAGAGCGCCCUGGGUUAUAUAUGUGGAAUACACAGAAUGUCUCAGACCAAGAACGUUUUAACGAGCAAGUGAUGAUAACCAUGAACAGAACAGCAAUGAAGGCCGCAGAUUUUCCAAAAGGUGCUAUAAAAUUUGCUGUCAACGAAACAAAUUUUACCACGUCUCAAACACUGUACACCCUCGCGCAGUGUACACCGGACCUAACUGAAUCCGAUUGUCUUCGGUGUCUUCAGACAGCUAUCUUAAGUUUGCCAGAUUGUUGUAGUGGAAAGGACGGAGCAAGAGUAUUGCUCCCGAGCUGUCAUAUUCGG